GGGCGAAAGCCUGAUGCAGCGACGCCGCGUGAGGGAUGACGGCCUUCGGGUUGUAAACCUCUUUCAGCAGGGACGAAGCGCAAGUGACGGUACCUGCAGAAGAAGCACCGGCCAACUACGUGCCAGCAGCCGCGGUAAUACGUAGGGUGCGAGCGUUGUCCGGAAUUACUGGGCGUAAAGAGUUCGUAGGCGGUUUGUCGCGUCGUCUGUGAAAACCCACCGCUCAACGGUGGGCCUGCAGGCGAUACGGGCAGACUUGAGUACUGCAGGGGAGACUGGAAUUCCUGGUGUAGCGGUGAAAUGCGCAGAUAUCAGGAGGAACACCGGUGGCGAAGGCGGGUCUCUGGGCAGUAACUGACGCUGAGGAACGAAAGCGUGGGUAGCAAACAGGAUUAGAUACCCUGGUAGUCCACGCCGUAAACGGUGGGCGCUAGGUGUGGGUUCCUUCCACGGGAUCUGUGCCGUAGCUAACGCAUUAAGCGCCCCGCCUGGGGAGUACGGCCGCAAGGCUAAAACUCAAAGGAAUUGACGGGGG
rnacentral:rRNA from 1 species